UUCAUGGAAUUACCAAGUCAAGUGCAAUUAAACACUGAUCCUGCUCAGUCCAGCUCUUGUGUUCCCCUUUGGAGUCCACAUUCCAACACACCUGUGGGGCAACCAAUGCUGGCUGAAGAAAGGUUGCAGAAUUGAUCCUCUGCAUUUGCUGGAAACCUUCUCAAGAGAUGACACAGAUGCUAAAUGAUUUGCCUAAUGUCACACAAGAAGUCAAGAGCAACACCAGGAAUCACACCCAGGUUUCUGGACUCGGACUGAUGCUCUGUCCAACGGACCCUGCUGAUGCCCUUUAAUACGGGUAUUAAAACAAAAACAGUCUGCAAGGCAGUGAAGUAAUAGCCUUCAUUCUCUUAACUGGAUCUGUGCAAACCCAAGGGCUCAUGUGGAGCCUGAAGGACCAAUUUCAGGAUAAAGGUGUAUCAUUUUUGAAUUUGAAGUUAUGAGUAUUGGCUCUAUACCUGGAUUUCAAAUGUUUGCUCCUGGGGUAACACCCACAAGGCAGCUAGCCAGCACAUCUUGGAGGGACUAUUCAAAUUCAGUGGCCCAUCAAAAGAACAUUUAACUGACAAUGGACCAUGGGAGAUGCCUAUGUCCACCUAAUGGAAUUUCCUGCUGUGACUAGGUGAAAUCAUGCAUGGACAUGUGACUUGUCCAUGUGACUCCAACCACCAUCUCUUCCACAGUAAGAACAACGGGAUUCCCGCCACAUGGCAGAAGGUAUAAAAGGCCCUGGAAACACCUCCAUUUUGCCUCCUUUCUGCCCCAGCCUCUUUCCUGUUCAAACCUCUGGACUAUGGAUUAUAAUAAUGGGAGCAUUCUAACCAAAGGUACUGAGGUCCUUCCAAUGAUUUGGAAGCAGUCAGAGAUUUGACAUAAGCCAGCAGUUUAUUCCAUCACUGCUACAAGCCUGAACCAAGAAUUUUGCAUUUAUUUUAUGUAUUUGAUUCUUUUAACCAGUUUUAACUCUUCUUUCUUUC